rnacentral:lncRNA from 1 species
UUCCAAGAUACUAAUAGUGUUAUCUACAACAGGUAAUGAAUAGCUGGAUUUGAGCCGAUGACUUCAUUUUAUCAAGCCAUUGAAGGAUCCAGUUGCCAAGGUUUUGCCCAACUUCAAUAUCCCUUUCUUGUAUCUUGCAAUGAACUGUGAGUGCAACAUCAAAUGCAGCUCCCUAGCUUUUCUUAUUUCAAUUGACACCUACAAGUGCUAAUUUUAAGGGAAUUUGAAGUGAUCUGGUGGCACUCAUUCCUGUGUUGCUUGCCUAAAAUGUCAUUGAAAAGCUGAAGGGGAAAGGUGGAACAUGGCCUCAAUGACACCCAUUAAUAAGUUUACAUGCUGAAGAUUGAUAGGCCCCAAAGGCAGGUGAAUAUUUCCAUUUAGUUAGUCAAAGUAUUAUAGGAUUUUGUGGAAUAAAGUGAAUAUGUGUCUAAUUAUAAAUUGAAAGUGAGGUGUUCAUUUCAUUUUAGGCAGGAAUUAUUGUGUCAAAUUGGAUACUUGACAUUUUGUUAGAUAUUUGAAGCAUUACGCUUCCCCUAGUUCCUGAUCUUUCAUUUUAGACUUUUCCUCAACCUGCCCCAGCUUUUAGAGCUGAUUUAUUUUUCAUAGCCAAGAAAUUUAAGGUUGUGGAAUAUUUUAAACACGGUCAAUUGUUCGAAACUGGAAAAGAAUUGGAGAUUAUAGAAAGCGUAGUUAAAAGCCCAUACCUGCUCUAGUACUGUACUCCUACAGCUAAACUUUGAACCCCUCAAAGUGAUGUUACAAUUUGUUGGAGGUUGAUGACAGAUUGCAGGUAGCAUAUGAUGUGUAACUUCAUGCAUUUUCUCUUUCUUUUUCUUCCUUUUGUUGUAUGUGGGUUCAUAUUUCCUUUUGCAGUCUUUAAGUAAUGAAAAACUAAGCAAUUAGUUAUUAGUGGUUUUAGUUAUAGUUAUGGAUAAAUGGCCUGGUCAUGUGUUUGCUACUUUGUCCAUCGUUUUUAUGCUACGAGUUACAUAUUAGACUUUUAAUAUUGUUGAAAUGUUUUACUAUUGCUUUUUUUAGAUGGUUUAUCAUUUACGAGUAUAAUUUUUGUUCUCUACAUUUUUCAAAUUUUUUCUGAGAGUUUUUUUUGCAAUGUUACUUAUGAAUCUCUCAUAUUUAGCACUUCAUGUCUGAUUCUUACUUUCUCCCCAUCUUCAUUGUUGCUGUGGCUUAGACUUAGUUCAUACACAUCCUACCAAAUUUUAGCUGCAUAGAGAACAGGAAAACGUUGACAUGGCGUCACCCAACAGAAUGCCUGUAGAUUAGGAGCUUAUGGCUUUGGUUAGAACAUCUGGGAUUCAGCAAUUUAAUGAGCAAGAUAUAUGAUCUAUCUCAGUAUUCAAUGAAUGAACUUGCUGAUGAGGCUGUUACAUGUCUCAAGUGUGUGAAUGAUCCACAAUUCCUAUUCUCAGCACAAGGCAUUGAAAUUUCAAAGAGUUGUAGUUGUGGGAUGUGGAAAUUCAGGCAUGGAAGUGUCCCCUGAUCUUUGCAAUUAUGAUGCAAAACCUUCAAUGGUUGUUCGGAGCUUGAUGAGUAAUACACAACACAUAACAGUGACUUUCAUUCAUCCAUUUUCUUUCAAGAAAAUUGAGUCCCAGUAUGUAGAUUCUAAUGUGGUUUAUGGGUUUUCUUUUUAGGUUCAUGUAUUGCUAAUGAUUCUUACUUAUUUUUCUUUGCUUUUCUUCUCGAUUAUUAAUUGGUACAAAUGUCUAAAAUGUGGCAUCUAUCUUUAUCUCCUUUUUUAUAGGACAGGACCAAUAUUUAAGGCACAACUCAUGUCGAAGAUUACUGAGAAGAAAAUUAAGGAGACUGAUAGGAUGGUUUCACUUACUACUUAGUGGGUUUUUUUUUUUGGAAAAAUGUAUAGGAUUUUUAGGUGUGUGAGAAUUUUGGAUCUGGAUUUUGUAUGAAUAUUGUUACAUUUUAAAGUUCAAUUAAUAAUGAUUAUUGAAGUUAUU